AGGGCACCACCAGGAGUGGAGCCUGCGGCUUAAUUUGACUCAACACGGGAAAACUCGCCCGGCCCGGACACUGAAAGGAUUGACAGAUUGAGAGCUCUUUCUUGAUUCAGUGGGUGGUGGUGCAUGGCCGUUCUUAGUUGGUGGAGCGAUUUGUCUGGUUAAUUCCGAUAACGAACGAGACUCUAGCCUACUAAAUAGAUCGCCGGUUUACAAACACCGGUGAGACUUCUUAGAGGGACAGGCGGCGAUUCAGCCGCACGAAACAGAGCAAUAACAGGUCUGUGAUGCCCUUAGAUGUCCGGGGCCGCACGCGCGCUACACUGAAGUGAUCAGCGUGCAUUUUAAGCCUACUCUGCCAAGAGUGGGAAACCCAAUGAACCUUCUUCGUGAUUGGGAUAGGGGAUUGUAAUUAUUCCCCUUGAACGAGGAAUUCCCAGUAAGCGCGAGUCAUAAGCUCGCGUUGAUUACGUCCCUGCCCUUUGUACACACCGCCCGUCGCUACUACCGAUUGAAUGUUUU
rnacentral:rRNA from 1 species